rnacentral:rRNA from 1 species
UACGUAGGGUGCAAGCGUUGUCCGGAAUUAUUGGGCGUAAAGAGCUCGUAGGUGGCCUGUCGCGUCGGCUGUGAAAACUCGGGGCUCAACUCCGAGCUUGCAGUCGAUACGGGCAGGCUAGAGUUCGGCAGGGGAGACUGGAAUUCCUGGUGUAGCGGUGAAAUGCGCAGAUAUCAGGAGGAACACCGGUGGCGAAGGCGGUGGGCUGGGCCGGAACUGACGCUGAGGAGCGAAAGCGUGGGGAGCAAACAGG